rnacentral:rRNA from 1 species
AUUGAACGCUGGCGGCAGGCCUAACACAUGCAAGUCGAACGAGUGGCGGACGGGUGAGUAAUGUCUGGGACACUGCCCGAUGGAGGGGUAUAACUACUGGAAACGGUAGCUAAUACCGCAUACCAUGGGAUGUGCCCAGAUGGGAUUAGCUAGUAGGUGGGGUAACGGCUCACCUAGGCGACGAUCCCUCGCUGGUCUGAGAGGAUGACCAGCCACACUGGAACUGAGACACGGUCCAGACUCCUACGGGAGGCAGCAGUGGGGAAUAUUGCACAAUGGGCGCAAGCCUGAUGCAGCCAUGCCGCGUGUAUGAAGAAGGCCUUCGGGUUGUAAAGUACUUUCAGCGAGGAGGCGUUACUCACAGAAGAAGCACCGGCUAACUCCGUGCCAGCAGCCGCGGUAAUAC